GAACGCCGUAUGAGGUGAAAGUCUCAUGUACGGUGUGAACGAGGGAAAAGGGAGCGAUAACUUCAAACCCUUACCUAUUCGUAU
rfam:Anaerobacillus sp. NB2006 Ga0137927_1135, whole genome shotgun sequence.